rnacentral:lncRNA from 1 species
UCGAAAAUCGAGCAUAGAUUAUUGAUCCCCAUUGCAAGGGGGUUGUAAGUUUGACUCUGACAAGCUAGGUAGGAGCUUGGAAAUGAACGGGUCAAAUGGAUACAAGUUCAAGUAUGAAGCUCGUAAGGAUGCAAGAUAUCCAAUGGAUACUCGCAUCGCUCUUAAUUAGCAAUUAUAAAGCAAGGUAUUAAACCGGGUUAGUAAGUUGAUCCGAGCCAGGUACAUUUUGGAUGCCGGAAGACGAUCAAGCUCAUUGGAGAACCGAACACGAUAAAGAUACAUGCUUCCGCACAGUGUCCCGUCGUAAAUUUUAAACGACGAAUUCAAUUACGUUAU